rnacentral:rRNA from 1 species
UAAGUCCCGCAACGAGCGCAACCCUUGUCCUUAGUUGCCAGCCUUAAGUUGGGCACUCUAAGGAGACUGCCGGUGACAAACCGGAGGAAGGUGGGGACGACGUCAAGUCAUCAUGGCCCUUACGUGUAGGGCUACACACGUGCUACAAUGGCCGGUACAGAGGGAAGCCACCCCGCAAGGGGGCGCGGAUCUACAAAACCGGUCACAGUUCGGAUCGGGGUCUGCAACUCGACCCCGUGAAGCUGGAAUCGCUAGUAA